rnacentral:snRNA from 1 species
UAUAGAAUGUCAUUGAUACUAUU